rnacentral:lncRNA from 1 species
CUGGUGGACCUGAGUGGGGGGGCGAGUUCUUCUCAUCCUGUCCUGGUGGCUGGUGGCAAACUGGUGGAGCAAGCCAGAGCAAGCAGGUCCCAGUCAGCCUGCAACCGCUUGGCCCCACUCCGCCCCGCUGGCUCAGUUUGGCCCAGCCGUCAGCUGGUGGGCCUGCCCGGGGAGGUCCUCUUCACCCUGUCCUGGUGGCUGGUGAUGCAGCCUGCUGUGCCUUUGUUUAGGCAACUUUUUCCUUACCAGUGGUCUUCAAUUCUCAGGAAGCUACCAAGCGGCCUUUUCUCUGCUACUCACCAGUGCACCAAUUCCUAGGUUCAGAAUGCUUGCCUUUUGGAUCCCUGAGCUGACCUGUUGUCUGGGUGUGCUUCUGGCUGGGGCCUAUGUACACUUGGGAUGAUAUCUGGGUGUGCCAUAGUGCAAGACAUGAUUGAUAAAUCUAGAGCAGAC